GGACUGAACCGCGUGGCGGCGUGCCUAACGACAUGCAAGUCGAGCGGAAGCGGCUACGAGGAGGAAGUUUUUCGGAUGGAAUCCUGAAUGACUGAGCGGCGGACGGGUGAGUAACGCGUGGGUAACCUGCCUCAUACAGGGGGAUAACAGUUGGAAACGGCUGCUAAUACCGCAUAAGCGCACAGUACCGCAUGGUACGGUGUGAAAAACUCCGGUGGUAUGAGAUGGACCCGCGUCUGAUUAGCUGGUUGGUGGGGUAACGGCCUACCAAGGCGACGAUGCAUAGCCGACCUGAGAAGGCGAACGGCCACAUUGGGACUGAGACACGGCCCAA
rnacentral:rRNA from 1 species